rnacentral:rRNA from 1 species
GACGAACGCUGGCGGCGUGCCUAAUACAUGCAAGUCGAGCGCAGGAAAUCAUCCGAACCCUUCGGGGGGACGUUGAUGGAAUGAGCGGCGGACGGGUGAGUAACACGUAAAGAACCUGCCCUCAGGUCUGGGAUAACCACGAGAAAUCGGGGCUAAUACCGGAUGGGUCAUCGGACCGCAUGGUCCGAGGAUGAAAGGCGCUUCGGCGUCGCCUGGGGAUGGCUUUGCGGUGCAUUAGCUAGUUGGUGGGGUAAUGGCCCACCAAGGCGACGAUGCAUAGCCGACCUGAGAGGGUGAGCGGCCACACUGGGACGGAGACACGGCCCAGACUCCUACGGGAGGCAGCAGUAGGGAAUCUUCCACAAUGGACGAAAGUCUAAUGGAGCAACGCCGCGUGAACGAUGAAGGCCUUCGGGUCGUAAAGUUCUGUUGUAAGGGAAGAACAAGUGCCGCAGGCAAUGGCGGCACCUUGACGGUACCUUGCGAGAAAGCCACGGCUAACUACGUGCCAGCCGCCGCAGUAA